AACGAACGCUGGCGGCAGGCCUAACACAUGCAAGUCGAGCGAGGACUUCGGUUCUAGCGGCGGACGGGUGAGUAACGCGUGGGAAUGUGCCCUUCUCUACGGAAUAGCCCUGGGAAACUGGGAGUAAUACCGUAUACGCCCUAUCGGGGAAAGAUUUAUCGGGGAAGGAUCAGCCCGCGUUGGAUUGGGUAGUUGGUGGGGUAAUGGCCUACCAAGCCGACGAUCCAUAGCUGGUUUGAGAGGAUGAUCAGCCACACUGGGACUGAGACACGGCCCAGACUCGUACGCGAGGCAGCAGUGGAGAAUCUUAGGCGAGGGGGGCAAACCUGGUAUCGCCGUGCCGCGUAAGUGAGGAAGGCGUUAGGAUUGUAAAGCUCUUUGAGCUGGGGAGAUAAUGACGGUACCGGCAGAAGAAGCCCCGGCUAACUCCGUG
rnacentral:rRNA from 1 species